UGAUCCUGGCUCAGAGCGAACGUUAGCGGCGCGCCUAACACAUGCAAGUCGCACGAGAAAGGGGCAACCCCCGGUACAGUGGCGCACGGGUGAGUAACACGUGGAUUACCUGCCCUGGAGUGGUGGAUAACCUGCCGAAAGGUGGGCUAAUACAGCAUGAGACCACGCGGUUUCGAUCGUGAGGUCAAAGCGGGCUUCUGUUCACAAGCUCGCGCUCUAGGAUGGGGUCCGCGGCCCAUCAGCUAGUUGGUAGGGUAACGGCCUACCAAGGCUACGACGGGUAGCUGGUCUGAGAGGAUGGCCAGCCACACUGGAACUGAGACACGGUCCAGACUCCUACGGGAGGCAGCAGUGGGGAAUCUUGCGCAAUGGACGAAAGUCUGACGCAGCGACGCCGCGUGGGUGACGAAGGCC
rnacentral:rRNA from 1 species